CACGUAGGGCGCGAGCGUUGUCCGGAAUUAUUGGGCGUAAAGAGCUCGUAGGCGGCCUGUUGCGUCCGCUGUGAAAGCCCGGGGCUUAACCCCGGGUCUGCAGUGGAUACGGGCAGGCUAGAGUCAGGUAGGGGAGAACGGAAUUCCUGGUGUAGCGGUGAAAUGCGCAGAUAUCAGGAGGAACACCGGUGGCGAAGGCGGUUCUCUGGGCCUGUACUGACGCUGAGGAACGAAAGCGUGGGGAGCGAAAGGG
rnacentral:rRNA from 1 species